UGAAGAUAUGUGUCAUAUUUCUUUCAAUGGAUAAUUUUAAGUGAUAUUAAAUUAUGUCAAUAGUUUGAAUAGCAAUAGCAACCAUUGAGCUAAAAUUAUGCAACAAAUAGUUGCUUGUUAACCUAAGAUAUUUCAACAUUUUUGAAAGAUUAGUAAUAAAACAUGCCAUAUUUAAAAAGCCUUAAUGUGAAUCUUCUCUCCACUGUAGUUCAGGGGACACUCAGGAUGCUAGAGUAAUGCUAUAAAAAAAGCCACUCAGACAGGUGCAGUGGCUCACACAUGUAAUCCCACCUACUCAGAAGACUGAGGCCGGAGGAUCACUUGAAGCCAGGAGCUCAAGAACAGCCUGGGCAAAAUAGCAAUACCCUCCUCUCUAAAUAUAUAUAAAUAUAUAUAUAUAGAUAAUUAGUUGGGCAUGGUAAUGUGCCGGUAGCCCCAGCUACUCGGGAGGCUGAGGUGGAAAGAUGGCCCAGGAAUUUGAGGCUACAGUAAACUAUCUCACUGCACUCCAGCCUGAGCGACAGAAUGAGACUCCAUCUUUUAAAAAAAAAGGCACUGAAAUGACCCCAUCAAAUCCAACCAGCUAUGCCAGGCUCUAUUUCCAUCCUAUUUCUGAGGAGUUUUUGUCCUUGCUGGGUUUCCUUUGGCUUCAUACCCAGAUUCUGCUUGCCCUAUAUAACAUGGAUGGUCUGUCUGUCCUUUGUUCAGUACCUGCUCAAGAUGCCACUUGCCCAGAGCUAGAGCCCACGAGGCAAGGGGCAUCUCUUCUCUCACUGGUCAAAGGUAGGUGGUUGGAAGUGGAUAUUCUGGAUUCAUCUCUCCAGGCCCUUACUUCUAGGAAAACAAACAAACAAAAACAAGCAGUUUCUCUAAAUUAAUAUGUUAAUAUAAUUCUAAAAAUUAGCACAGAAAAAUUACCCAUUUAAUUUAUAAUGGUUUUUUAAGACAUUUGGAAGGAAAUAUUUCUUUCAUAAUACUCAAACACUUAAAGGUUGAACAUUAUAAAGAAGCAUCAGUAUUAUCAGAGAUUUUUCAAGAUUCUGUUAAAUUCUAAACAUCAUCUAGAAAGUUCUUGUCUUAUAUCUAAUACCUAACCUUAAUGUCCCCUCCUUUGUUAAAACUUUUCUUGACUCUCUCUCUUCCCGUGCCUGUACAAAGACAUGCAUGUGCAUGGGAACACACACACACAUACACAAACACACACACACACUAGUAAUCACAGCCUCCCUUUUGCCAGCAUGUAUAUAACAUAAUUUUUAGCAUUUUCCCACAUUAAAGAAAUAAUUGAAAGCUUAUAUAUUUAUUCCCCAAAGUAGAUAUCUAAUUAUUUAAAAGAAAGGCUUAUAUUUAAUGCAUCUAUGUUUUCAGGGCUUGAAUAAAAGUCUGUUUAGCAAGGUUUUCUUUGAUGGAAUUAUUUGAUUCAUACUGGAAUCUCUGGUUCAUUUUUCUGUUUACAGAAGUAAGUUCAGAUUGUAGUAUAUUGCACAGAUUGUCCAGGUAAACCUGGUUAAGACUUUCAGGGGAACUUAUUUUUGCUGCUAUUGUGAUGUGGAAAUGCUGUUACUACUUCAGUAACACUGAUAUAAUGUAUGUACUUAUUAACAAGAAAUGUGUAGAUAGUAGCUCCAGUACUUGAAGCAUCAUUAAAUUUGAAUGAAUUUUCUAUUUGUAAAUAUACUCUGUCAUAAAUACCAUUGAAUAUAUUUCACUAUGUAAUAAAUUUUAAAAUCAAGGAAGUAAUAAAUCAUAACAUUUAAUUUUAAGAUUAAGAAUAUUGGCAAAGAUUUGUUUAUUUUUACCUGUCUUUAUUCAAAUGUUCUAAUAUACAUUAGUUCCAAGUUCUCUAUUACUUCUAAAUAGAAUAUACAUGAUCAAAAGAGUAUGCCUCUUUCUAAAUGAGAAAAACUUUAUAUUAUAAAUCCAGUGAUACGGAUACUAUCCAUCAUUUUGUUUUGUAUGGCCUAAUGUAUAUCAGUAAACUAAAUAGACUUAAAUGUGGCUGGAUUUUGACUGGGAAUAUGGGAAGAACAAAGCAGGUGAGAUCAUGUAUGUGACUAAAUAUAGCGUUGAUGCUUAACGAUGGCCUCUGAGCAUGUUAGUGUAACUUAUAUUUUGCAGCCAAAAACUGUAUGUAUCAAGCUCCAACCAUCUAUAAUAAAGUUUAUGGUUCAGUUCUAAGAUUGCUAACCAAGUGAUUUUUUUUUCAGAGACGUUAAAGAAAAAGUACCUUCAACCAAUAAAUUCUUAAACAUUUCAUCAAAUAGUUAUUGAACAGCACUGUGCUAGGCACGUGGGAUGUGAAAAUCAAAGAACACAUGACCCUACCCAUAGCAACUCAGUGAUAACAAUGAUAAAGGACUAUGCUAGAUUCCACAUCGUACCUGGAGUGGGGGCAGAAGUGGUACAUAAUCCAGUUAGGGGGUGAAGUGGAAAAUCCAGGGCAAGUUUCGUGGAGGAAGUGAUGCCUGAAAUGUAUCUCAAAUAAGUUAGCAGAGCUAAAAAAAAAAAAAAAAAAAAGAAAAAAAGAGUAGAAGUUAAAGGGAAUAAAUGGAACCGGGUGUAGAAGGGUAUUCAGAACAGAAGAAAUUAUAUAAGCAAAGACAAAGAAGCAAGAAAUAGUAUGCAUGUUUGGGUUCAGGAGAAGAUGGUUUGACUAGAAAGUUUAACAUUAGAAAUAAAAUUAUUCCUUUACAAAAAAAGAAAUACUUAAAAGAAUAUGUUGGUUUUCAAAACAGAUAUAGUGAUUUUUGCUUAGUUGCUUAUACAUCUUGAAACCAAAACUGGAGUUCAGCUAUUUAUUGUGUUCAUUUUAGCAUAAGCAUUACAAAGUCCUUCUCUAGUUAAUCAGGUUCACACUUUGCAACUAAGAAAACAGAAGUGGGCCAGGCACGGUGGCUCACGCCUGUAAUCCUAGCACUUUGGGAGGCCGAGGCAGGCGGAUCAUGAGGUCGGAAGAUCGAGACCAUCCUGGCUAACACCUCAUCUCUACUAAAAAUACAAAAAAUUAGCCGGGCAUGGUGGCAGGCGCCUAUAGUCCCAGCUACUCAGGAGGCCGAGGCAGGAGAAUUGCUUGAACCUGGGAGGCAGAGGUUGCAGUGAGCCGAGAUCGUGCCACUGCGCUCCAGCCUGGGUGGCAGAGAGAGACUCUGUCUCAAAC
ensembl:lncRNA novel transcript